AUUGAACGCUGGCGGCAGGCCUAACACAUGCAAGUCGAGCGAGUGGCGGACGGGUGAGUAAUGUCUGGGAAACUGCCUGAUGGAGGGGGAUAACUAAUGGAAACGGUAGCUAAUACCGCAUACCAUCAGAUGUGCCCAGAUGGGAGUAGCUAGUUGGUGGGGUAACGGCUCACCAGGGCGACGAUCCCUAGCUGGUCUGCGAGGAUGACCAGCCACACUGGAACUGAGACACGGUCCAGACUCCUACGUGAGGCAGCAGUGGGUAAUAUUGCACAAUGGGCGCAAGCCUGAUGCAGCCAUGCCGCGUGUGUGAAGAAGGCCUUCGGGUUGUAAAGCACUUUCAGCGGGGAGGCGUUACUCGCAGAAGAAGCACCGGCUAACUCCGUGCCAGCAGCCGCGGUAAUUC
rnacentral:rRNA from 1 species